GAGCCCGACGCGGGGCUCGAACCCACGGACCGCGAGAUCGUGACCUGAGCCGAAGUCGGACGCUCCACCGACGGAGCCACCCAGGCGCCCCAAGACACAAUGGAGCUUUAAACUGAGUGAGCACAGGGUCCCUCUGAACGCAGGCCCAGGCCACGUGGCUGUGAAGCUGGCCCUCCUCGGAGCCUUCUGGAAGACGACCCCUCCUCUGUGCGGCACUCCUCGGUCGCUCAGACCACUGGGUCUUUCCAAGAAAUGAUGCUGCAGCCGCCUGAAAGCUUCUUCCGUCUUUCCAGCGUUAGGAAGAAGCAACUCACUCCCUCAUUCAGCAGUUCCGCCCCUGUCCCCGCUCUGAAACGCUCGUUCACCUGGACUUCCAGCCAUGAGCAAACCAGAUAAAUAGUCCAGGAAGGACCGGAGACAGCUCACAAAGCAAGAAAGACGGUGGCACUGACCCCUCUCCGAAGGCGCGGAGCCCAGAAGGGAGUUCCCUCCGGACCCGGCUUCCUCCCUCAGCGCCAACGUCUCGAAGCUCUUCUCCCCCCUAGAAGCUGUGACUCUUGAAAGCAGGGAUCCCCACAACGCCGAAGACGGCGGCCGGGUGGACAGAACCCCAGACGUGGCGUCCCAGGGGGAGGUCGAGCCCAGAACAGACAGCCAGCCUCUCUCGGAAAGAGCAGGCGAACACCAGUGAACCUUCGGUACUAUGCUUUCUGGACUCCGUAAGCGUCCUUUUCCGCCUUCUUGCCUCCUGACACGCGACCGGCAAGGGUCAGCGUUUGGGCCGGGCCUGGCCUGGGGCUGGGUCACCUCUGCCCCUACCACCACCUUAGCCCGCCUUCCAUCAUGGCUACCCACCCUCCUGUCACUCAAGACCUGACUUCCUCAAG